rnacentral:rRNA from 1 species
GGGGGCCCGCACAAGCGGUGGAGCAUGUGGUUUAAUUCGAUGCAACGCGAAGAACCUUACCUGGUCUUGACAUCCACGGAAGUUUUCAGAGAUGAGAAUGUGCCUUCGGGAACUGUGAGACAGGUGCUGCAUGGCUGUCGUCAGCUCGUGUUGUGAAAUGUUGGGUUAAGUCCCGCAACGAGCGCAACCCUUAUCCUUUGUUGCCAGCGAUUAGGUCGGGAACUCAAAGGAGACUGCCAGUGAUAAACUGGAGGAAGGUGGGGAUGACGUCAAGUCAUCAUGGCCCUUACGACCAGGGCUACACACGUGCUACAAUGGCGCAUACAAAGAGAAGCGACCUCGCGAGAGCAAGCGGACCUCAUAAAGUGCGUCGUAGUCCGGAUUGGAGUCUGCAACUCGACUCCAUGAAGUCGGAAUCGCUAGUAAUCGUGGAUCAGAAUGCCACGGUGAAUACGUUCCCGGGCCUUGUACACACCGCCCGUCACACCAUGGGAGUGGGUUGCAAAAGAAGUAGGUAGCUUAACCUUCGGGAGGGCGCUUACCACUUUGUGAUUCAUGACUGGGGUGAAGUCGUAACAAGGUAACCGUAGGGGAACCUGCGGUUGGAUCACCUCCUUACCUUAAAGAAGC